CUGACUGAGGGAUUGAAGCCAAUCCAGGGGAUGCCAUGUCACAUGUGGUGUUUAUACAUGUCAGCUGAUGGGGGAGGCAGAUUGAAGAAAUGAAGCCAGUGUGCGGGAUGCCAUGUCACAUGAGAUAUUUCUACACAGCUGAUGGAGGAGAAAAACUGAGGGAAUGAAGCCAGUCUGCAGGAUGCCAUGUCAACUGAGGUGUUUCUACACGCCAACUGAUAGGGGAGGCAGACAGAGGGAAUGAAGCCGGUCUGGGCAAAGCCAUGUCACACGAGACGGGUAAAAAACAAGAAAGCAAGUGCUGGACCUUGUGAAGAUCGCACAGUGCAUGUUGAGUCUGCAUCAGACCCGGGUACCACCACGAGGCCCAGUACCAUCCAGCUGGUUCAGUAUCCUCACAGAUGACCACCCACAUGCAGAGGAUUAGCCGUGGCAUGUUACAUCGCCCUCUGCUGGCGAUUAAAUGUUAAACACUGCACUGGGCGCAGUGUCAACCUGCAGGAGCUAGAGCAUGAGCUUGGUGUUCCUCCCAAGCAGACUCUGACCUCACGGCCAAAACUGAGGCUCCCAACGGUCCUGCUGUGCGUGAUUUCCCAGUUAGCAUUCCUCCUGUUCCGAGUCUGGCUCCAAUCAGCACCUCAUCACAAUUCUGCGGAUGCCGAGGACCUGGACCGCCAUUCUCCCGGCCGGAUCUGCGUUUUCGCCACACAGAUCCUACGAUCAGAGACGGCUGAAUCCCCAGAAACACCCCCCACUCUCACCCCCACCCCCUGGCAAUCCAGCCUCGUGUGGGAAAUUAAAGACAAAGAGAGGGCCUUUGUGAUUUCAUUUAUAAACGCUUUAACAUUUAGAGCCUAGAGCGUGCCCUUUGAAAAUGCCUAUUACACUGGGUGACAAGAAUUACAAGCAAAUAAAAGGACAUGUAUUCUAAUAAUGGA